UACGGGGGGGGCAAGCGUUGUUCGGAAUUACUGGGCGUAAAGGGCGCGUAGGCGGCCUACUAAGUCGGACGUGAAAUCCCUCGGCUCAACCGAGGAACUGCGUCCGAUACUGGUGGGCUUGAACCCGGGAGAGGGAUGUGGAAUUCCAGGUGUAGCGGUGAAAUGCGUAGAUAUCUGGAGGAACACCGGUGGCGGAGGCGGCAUCCUGGACCGGUAUUGACGCUGAUGCGCGAAAGCCAGGGGAGCAAACGGG
rnacentral:rRNA from 1 species